GUGGGGCGAGCGUGGGCCGCGGCGCGGCAGUGUGACUCCUUCCCGCGACCCUCCUUCGGGCCCCCGGCGAGGGCACUGUGCGGCGGCCGGAGCGGCGCCGGAGCCUGCGAGGCUGAGCAGGCGGCCGUGCCCGGGCAUGGUGGUCCGGGGCAACGCGGAAGAAGCUCCACCAUGAGACGAGGUGGAUGGAGGAAGCGAGCUGAAAAUGAUGGCUGGGAAAAAUGGGGUGGGUAUAUGGCUGCCAAGGUCCAGAAAUUGGAGGAACAAUUUCGAUCAGAUGCUACUUUACAGAAGGAUGGAACUUCAUCUACAAUUUUUAGUGGAGUUGCUAUUUACGUUAAUGGAUAUACAGAUCCUUCUGCUGAGGAAUUGAGAAAGCUAAUGAUGUUGCAUGGAGGGCAAUACCAUGUGUAUUAUUCCAGAUCCAAAACAACACACAUUAUUGCCACAAAUCUUCCAAAUGCCAAAAUUAAAGAAUUAAAGGGGGAAAAAGUAAUUCGGCCAGAAUGGAUUGUGGAAAGUAUCAAAGCUGGAAGACUGCUCUCUUGCAUUCCCUAUCAGCUGUACAGCAAGCAGUCCAACAUGCAGAAAGGUCUCAACUUCACUCCUGCGUGCAAAGCCGAGGAACCUGGGCCAGGUCCAAGCAGUGUAGUCAAACAGCUCAACAACAGGGUAAAUCACAUAAUUAAGAAGAUUGAGACAGAAAAUGAAGUCAAAGUCAAUGGAAUGAACAGUUGGAAUGAAGAAGAUGCAAAUAAUGAUUUUAAUUUUAUGGAGCUGGAGCAGAUCUUUCCAGGAAGGAAACAAAAUGGAAUUCCGCAUCACAGAGACAACGCUGCCAUUUUUAAUGGACACACUCCUAGCUCUAAUGGUGCCUUAAAGACGCAGGAUUGCUUGGUGCCCAUGGGCCACAGUUUUGCCAGCAGGCUUUCCCCAGACUUCGCCCAGGGGGAGGAGCAGGCUGAGAAGAGCAGCACUGACUUCAGAGACUGUGUUGUGCACCUGUCGCAACAAAGCACUAGAAACACAGAUGCCGUGCGGAAUCCACACAGAACUAAUUCCUUCUCCUUAUCAUCUUUGCACAGUAACACUAAAGUAAAUGGUGCUCACCACUCCGCUGUUCAGGGGCCUUCAAGCACAAAAAGCACUUCUUCAAUACCUACUCUUAGCAAGGCAGCACCUUCAGUGCCAUCCAAACCCUCAGAUUGCGGUUUUAUUUCAGACUUCUAUUCCCGCUCAAGACUGCAUCACAUAUCAAUGUGGAAGUGUGAAUUGACUGAGUUUGUCAGUGCCCUACAAAGACAAAGUAGUGGUGUCUUUCCAGGAAGGGAAAAGUUAAAAAAAAUGAAAACAGGCAGGUCUGCACUUGUUGUAACUGACACAGGAAAUAUGUCAGUAUUGAGUUCACCCAGGCAUCAGAGCUGUAUAAUGCAUGUUGAUAUGGAUUGCUUCUUUGUAUCAGUGGGUAUACGAAAUAGACCAGAUCUCAAAGGAAAACCAGUGGCUGUUACAAGUAACAGAGGCACAGGAAGGGCACCUCUACGUCCUGGUGCUAACCCCCAGUUGGAGUGGCAGUAUUACCAGAAUAAAAUCCUUAAAGGCAAAGCAGCAGAAAUACCAGAUUCAUCGUUGUGGGAGAACCAAGAUUCUGCACAAGCAAAUGGGAUUGAUUCUGUUUUAUCAAAGGCUGAAAUUGCCUCUUGUAGUUAUGAAGCCAGACAAGUUGGCAUCAGGAAUGGAAUGUUUUUUGGGCAAGCUAAACAACUUUGUCCCAGUCUUCAAGCUGUUCCAUAUGAUUUUCAUGCAUAUAAGGAAGUUGCACGAACAAUGUAUGAAACACUGGCAAGCUACACACAUAACAUUGAAGCUGUCAGUUGUGAUGAAGCACUGGUAGACAUCACGGAGAUCCUUGCAGAGACCAGACUUACUCCUGAUGAAUUUGCAAAUGCUGUCCGCAUGGAAAUCAAAGACCAGACGAAAUGUGCGGCCUCUGUUGGAAUUGGUUCUAAUAUUCUCCUUGCUAGAAUGGCAACUCGAAAAGCAAAACCAGAUGGCCAAUACCAUUUAAAACCAGAAGAAGUAGAUGAUUUUAUCAGAGGUCAGCUAGUUAGUAAUCUACCAGGAGUUGGACGUUCAAUGGAAUCCAAGUUGACCUCUUUGGGAAUUAAAACUUGUGGAGACUUGCAGUAUAUGACAAUGGCAAAACUCCAGAAAGAAUUUGGUCCCAAAACAGGUCAGAUGCUUUAUAGGUUCUGCCGUGGUUUGGAUGAUAGACCAGUUCGAACUGAAAAGGAAAGAAAAUCUAUUUCAGCUGAGAUCAACUAUGGAAUAAGGUUUACCCAGCCAAAAGAAGCGGAAGCUUUUCUUCUCAAUCUUUCAGAAGAAAUUCAGCGACGACUUGAGGCUGCCGGCAUGAAGGGUAAACGCCUGACGCUCAAAGUCAUGGUGCGAAAGCCUGGGGCCCCAGUCGAAACUGCAAAAUUUGGAGGCCAUGGGAUUUGUGAUAACAUCACCAGGACUGUAACUCUUGACCAGGCAACAGAUAGCGCGAAGAUAAUUGGAAAAGCUACACUAAACAUGUUUCAUACAAUGAAACUAAAUAUAUCAGAUAUGAGAGGGGUUGGGAUUCAAGUCAAUCAGUUGGUCCCGACCAAUCCAAACCCUUCCGCAUGCCCCACUCGCCCAUCAGUUCAGUCAAGCCACUUUCCUGGUGGGUCACACUCUGUCCUGGAUCUCUUCCAAGUUCAGAAAGCUAAGAAAUCCACAGAAGAGGAGCACAAGGAAGUAUUUGUGGCUGCUAUGGAUCUGGAAAUAUCCUCUGCCUCUAGAAAUUGCACUUUCAUGCCAUCUUUUUCUACACACCUGACAUCAAGUGUCAAUCCUGUUACUAGCAAAGCUGAGUCUUCAGGGAAAUGGAAUGGUCUACAUUCUCCCAUCAGUUUAAAAUCAAGACUUAACCUGAGUAUAGAGGUUCCAUCACCUUCCCAGCUCGAUCAGUCUGUUUUAGAAGCACUUCCACCUGAUCUCCGGGAACAAAUAGAGCAGGCUUGUGCUGGUCAGCAAGGAGAGCAGCAUGGUGACAAAAGGAAAGAGCCAGUAAAUGGCUGUAAUACAGGAAUUUUGCCACAACCAGUUGGGACGGUUUUGCUACAAAUACCAGAACCUCAAGAAUCUAACAGUGACGCAGGAAUUAACGUCAUAGCCCUUCCAGCAUUUUCACAGGUGGACCCUGAGGUGUUUGCUGCCCUUCCUGCCGAGCUUCAGAAGGAGCUGAAGGCAGCGUAUGAUCAAAGACAAAGGCAGGGAGAGAACGCCGCUCACCAGCAGCUGGCCACUGCGUCAGUGCCAAAGAACCUGUUACGUCAGCUCAAACCAGCAGCAGUGAAAGAAAAGAAACGAAACAAGAAAAAAAAUCCCAUCAGUUCCCCCAAAAAGAUUCAGAGUCCUUUGAAAAACAAGUUGCUUACUAGUCCUGUGAAAACUCUGCCGGGGGCCUGCGGGAGUCCCCAGAAGUUAAUCGAUGGGUUUCUAAAACAUGAAGGUCCUGCUUCUGAGAAACCUCUGGGAGAACUCUCUGCUUCCACUUCAGGUGUGCCAGGCCUUUCCAGCUCGCAGCCUGAGCCUGCUGGCUGCAGAAGACCCCCGGCACCCAACCUAGCGGGAGCUGUUGAAUUCAGUGAUGUGAAGACUUUGCUCAAAGAAUGGAUAACUACCAUUUCAGAUCCAAUGGAAGAAGACAUUCUACAAGUUGUGAAAUACUGUACUGACCUAAUAGAGGAAAAAGAUUUGGAAAAACUGGACCUAGUUAUCAAAUACAUGAAAAGGUUGAUGCAGCAGUCGGUGGAAUCGGUUUGGAACAUGGCAUUUGACUUUAUUCUUGACAAUGUUCAGGUGGUUUUACAACAAACUUACGGAAGCACAUUAAAAGUUACAUAAAUCUCACCAGGGAGCCUGGUGCUCUCGGCUAGCUGUGCCAUAAGUGCUUGUGAGGCUCCUUUUUGUGACUCCUUUAGGAAGCAAAUCCUGCACUGUUUAUUAUAUUUAAAGGCUGAGGAAACCUACAAGCCGGACUGUCACAGGCUCCAUGCUAAUCUUUGAGAUUCCUGAGAGGUCCCAGACUGGGAUUCUGCUUGUUCCGGGUAAAGCUUCUAAAUAAUCUUAAUCAUUCUUCUUCCCAAGCAUGAACACGGGAGCAUGUUAAGAAAGUCUUCUUUACUUAUUUUAAAUUAAAACACACACAUAAUUGAAUAUUAAGUUUUUUCCUGGGAAAAUUGUCUCUGCUUCUACCGUCCCUUGAGAAACUUCAGUAGUAUUGAAGAACGGUACAGAUUUUCAGAUGUAUAUAGUGUUUUUCUAGGC